AUGUCCUUUAAGACAGUCCUGUGAGGCUGGCAAGGGAAUGGUCCAUACUAUGCUGCAUUGUAACUAUUUGCAGCCAUAUUACGGCUAAGUAAGCUUCCUUCCAGAUAAUGGAUAGGAAGCUUUUUUGAU
rfam:Pelosinus sp. TFO1, complete genome.